UACGUAGGGUGCAAGCGUUAAUCGGAAUUACUGGGCGUAAAGCGUGCGCAGGCGGCUUUGCAAGACAGAUGUGAAAUCCCCGGGCUUAACCUGGGAACUGCAUUUGUGACUGCAUGGCUAGAGUGCGGCAGAGGGGGAUGGAAUUCCGCGUGUAGCAGUGGAAUGCGUAGAUAUGCGGAGGAACACCGAUGGCGAAGGCAAUCCCCUGGGCCUGCACUGACGCUCAUGCACGAAAGCGUGGGGAGCAAACAGG
rnacentral:rRNA from 1 species